AAGUGAGUGGACGUUACUCGCAGAAUAAGCCCCGGCUAACUCUGUGCCAGCAGCCGCGGUAAUACAGAGGGUGCGAGCGUUAAUCGGAUUUACUGGGCGUAAAGCGUGCGUAGGCGGCUUUUUAAGUCGGAUGUGAAAUCCCUGAGCUUAACUUAGGAAUUGCAUUCGAUACUGGAAAGCUAGAGUAUGGGAGAGGAUGGUAGAAUUCCAGGUGUAGCGGUGAAAUGCGUAGAGAUCUGGAGGNAAUCCCGAUGGCGAAGGCAGCCAUCUGGCCUAAUACUGACGCUGAGGUCCGAAAGCAUGGGGAGCAAACAGGAUUAGAUACCCUGGUAGUCCAUGCCGUAAACGAUGUCUACUAGCCGUUGGGGCCUUUGAGGCUUUAGUGGCGCAGCUAACGCGAUAAGUAGACCGCCUGGGGAGUACGNGUCGCAAGACUAAAACUCAAAUGAAUUGACGGGGGCCCGCACAAGCGGUGGAGCAUGUGGUUUAAUUCGAUGCAACGCGAAGAACCUUACCUGGCCUUGACAUACUAAGAACUUUCCAGAGAUGGAUUGGUGCCUUCGGGAACUUAGAUACAGGUGCUGCAUGGCUGUCGUCAGCUCGUGUCGUGAGAUGUUGGGUUAAGUCCCGCAACGAGCGCAACCCUUUUCCUUAUUUGCCAUCGGGUAAUGCCGGGAACUUUAAGGAUACUGCCAGUGACAAACUGGAGGAAGGCGGGGACGACGUCAAGUCAUCAUGGCCCUUACGGCCAGGGCUACACACGUGCUACAAUGGUCGGUACAAAGGGUUGCUACCUCGCGAGAGGAUGCUAAUCUCAAAAAGCCGAUCGUAGUCCGGAUCGCAGUCUGCAACUCGACUGCGUGAAGUCGGAAUCGCUAGUAAUCGCGGAUCAGAAUGCCGCGGUGAA
rnacentral:rRNA from 1 species